rnacentral:rRNA from 1 species
CGCUUGGUAAUUUUAUAUCAAGUAGAUUCUGCCCACUGAACCCUUGAAUGGCCGCAGUACCCUGACUGUGCUAAGGUAGCAUAAUAACUUGUCUCUUAAUUGGAGGCUAGAAUGAAUGAACUGACGAGGAGGUUGCUGUCUCAGGGGAAGCCAAGGAAAUUUAUAUUCAGGUAAAAAAUCCUGAAAAUUGUAGAGGGACGAUAAGACCCUAAAAGCUUUACCCUUAACUCCUAAUAUUUUUCAACCUGAUUAAGACUGACGGGUUUUCACUGGGGCGGUGGUCCUACCUAACUAGAACAAAUUAAACACCUUGAGUGAAACUUUCCACCUUGAUUUGAAUCAAUAAGAUAAGUUACUUUAGGGAUAACAGCGUAAUUCUCUGAAAGAGCCCUUAUCGACCAGAGAGAUUACGACCUCGAUGUUGAAUUGAAAACUUGACUAAAGCAGCAUUUAGUAUUAAGGAGACUGUUCGUCUCUCAAACUUUC